CACGUAGGGGGCGAGCGUUGUCCGGAUUUAUUGGGCGUAAAGGGUGUGUAGGUGGCGCCGUAAGUCGGGUGUGAAAUUUCGGAGCUUAACUCCGAAACUGCAUUCGAUACUGGCGUGCUUGAGGACUGGAGAGGAGACUGGAAUUCAUGGUGUAGCAGUGAAAUGCGUAGAGAUCAUGAGGAAGACCAGUGGCGAAGGCGGGUCUCUGGGCCGUAACUGACGCUGAGGAGCGAAAGCGUGGGGAGCGAACAGG
rnacentral:rRNA from 1 species